rnacentral:rRNA from 1 species
AGCGAAUAAGAGCUUAAGUUGGAUACCUUGGCAUUCAGAAGCGAUGAAGGGCGUGUCUACCGACGAAACGCUUCGGGGAGCUGGAAGUAAGCAUUGAUCCGGAGGUACCCGAAUGAGGAAACUCUUAAUACUACAUGCUCAAUCUAUAGGCAUGUAAGAGCGAACCUGGUGAAUUGAAACAUCUUAGUAACCAGAGGAAAAGAAAGCAAAAGCGAUUCCCACAGUAGCGGCGAGCGAAAAGGGAACAGCCCAAACUAUUUAUUACAUAAAUAGGGUUGUGGGACAGCAUAAAAAAGAUUAGAACGAGUUAGGUGAAGUAGUUGGAAUGCUAUAUCAUAGAAGGUGAAAAUCCUGUAACCGAAAACUUUAACUACUUAGCUGUAUCCCAAGUAGCAUGGGACACGUGAAACCCCGUGUGAAUCUGCGAGGACCACCUCGUAAGGCUAAAUAUUCCUGAAUGACCGAUAGUGAAAUAGUACCGUGAGGGAAAGGUGAAAAGAGAACCCCGGGAGGGGAGUGAAAUAGAACGUGAAAGCUUAAGCUUACAAGCAGUGGGAGAACGACUAAACGUUUGACCUCGUACCUGUUGAAGAAUGAGCCGGCGACUUGUAGGGAGUGGCAGGUUAAGGUAGUGAAUACUGGAGCCAUAGUGAAAGCGAGCCUUAAUAGGGCGUUAGUCACUUUUUACAGACCCGAACCCGGAUGAUCUAACCAUGGCCAGUGUGAAGCUUAGGUAACACUAAGUGGAGGCGCGAACCGACUGAUGUUGAAAAAUCAGCGGAUGAGUUGUGGUUAGGGGUGAAAUGCCAAUCGAAUCCGGAGCUAGCUGGUUCUCCCCGAAAUGCGUUUUGGCGCAGCGGUUAACGCUAUAGCUUAGGGGUAAAGCACUGUUUCGGUGCGGGCUGCUAACGCGGUACCAAAUCGAUGCAAACUCUGAAUACUAAGUGUGUAGUUAACCAGUAAGACUGUGGGGGAUAAGCUCCAUUGUCAAGAGGGAAACAGCCCAGACCACCAGCUAAGGCCCCAAAAUAAUUGCUAAGUGGCAAAGGAUGUGGGAACACUGAGACAAUCAGGAGGUUCGCCUAGAAGCAGCUAUCCUUUAAAGAGUGCGUAAUAGCUCACUGAUCAAGUGCACCUGCGCCGAAAAUGACUGGGACUAAGCAAUUUGCCGAAGCUGUGGGAUUUUUAAAAAUCGGUAGGGGAGCGUUCCACAUUAGAUAGAAGCAUUAGCGAAAGCGGGUGUGGACGAAGUGGAAGUGAGAAUGUCGGCUUGAGUAGCGAAAACAUUGGUGAGAAUCCAAUGCCCCGAAAACCUAAGGUUUCCUCCGGAAGGCUCGUCCGCGGAGGGUGAGUCAGGACCUAAGGUGAGGCCGAAAGGCGUAACUAAUGGACAACAGGUUAAUAUUCCUGUACCAUUUAUUGCUGGUAUCGAGGGACGAAGAAGGCUAAACCAUCCGGAUGUUGGUUACCGGUUUAAGUGUUAAAGGUGUUGAGAAACGGAGAAAACGUUUUGAGCUAAGGCACGAAUACGAGAUACUAAGGUAUCGAAGUGGUUGACGUCAUACUUCCAAGAAAAGCUCGAAAUAUCAUAAGCAAUGAAUGCCUGUACCUUAAACCGACACAGGUAGGUAGGUAGAGUAUACCAAGGGGCGCGAGAUAACUCUCUCUAAGGAACUCGGCAAAAUAACCUCGUAACUUCGGAAGAAGAGGUACCCUUGAAAGAGGGUUGCAAUAACCAGACCCUGGCGACUGUUUACCAAAAACACAGGUCUCCGCUAAUUCGUAAGAUUAAGUAUGGAGGCUGACGCCUGCCCAGUGCCGGAAGGUUAAAGAAGUUGGUCAAUUUUCGGAUGAAGCUAGCGACUGAAGCCCCGGUGAACGGCGGCCGUAACUAUAACGGUCCUAAGGUAGCGAAAUUCCUUGUCGGGUAAGUUCCGACCCGCACGAAAGGCGUAACGAUCAGGGUGCUGUCUCGGAGAGAGGCUCGGCGAAAUAGACAUGUCUGUGAAGAUGCGGACUACCUGCACCUGGACAGAAAGACCCUAUGAAGCUUUACUGUAUCUUGGAAUUGGGUUUGGGCCUUGUUUGCGCAGGAUAGGUGGGAGGCUUUGAAGACGUUCUUGCGGGAGCGUUGGAGCCAAUGGUGAGAUACCACUCUAGCAAGGCUAAAAUUCUAACUUUGAACCGUUAUCCGGUCGAAGAACAGUUUCAGGUGGGCAGUUUGACUGGGGCGGUCGCCUCCUAAAAGGUAACGGAGGCGUGCAAAGGUUCCCUCAGGCUGGUCGGACAUCAGUCGUAGAGUGUAAAGGCAUAAGGGAGCUUGACUGCGAGACCUACAAGUCGAGCAGAGACGAAAGUCGGCCUUAGUGAUCCGACGGUUCCGAGUGGAAGGGCCGUCGCUCAACGGAUAAAAGUUACUCUAGGGAUAACAGGCUGAUCUCCCCCAAGAGUUCAUAUCGACGGGGAGGUUUGGCACCUCGAUGUCGGCUCAUCGCAUCCUGGGGCGGUAGUACGUCCCAAGGGUUGGGCUGUUCGCCCAUGAAAGCGGUACGCGAGCUGGGUUCAGAACGUCGUGAGACAGUUCGGUCCAUAUCCGGUGCAGGCGUUAGAGUAUUGAGAGGAGUCUCCCUUAGUACGAGAGGACCGGGGAGAAUACACCGCUGGUGUGCCAGUUAUCGUGCCAACGGUACACGCUGGGUAGCCAAGUGUAGAGUGGAUAACUGCUGAAAGCAUCUAAGUAGGAAGCCCACCUCAAGAUGAGUACUCUCACCGCUAUAAGCGGUUAAGAUCACGGGAAGAACACCCGUUAUAUAGGCACUAAGUGUAAGUACAGUAAUGUAUUCAGCUGAGGUGUACUAACAGAUCGAGGGCUUGAUUGUUUAUCAAAAUUUAUACUUUACAGU